rnacentral:misc_RNA from 1 species
GGCUGAGUUUUAUGACGGGCCCGGUGCUGAAGGGCAGGGAACAACUUGAUGGUGCUACUUUGAACUGCUUUUCUUUUCUCCUUUUUGCACAAAGAGUCUCAUGUCUGAUAUUUAGACAUGAUGAGCUUUGUGCAAAAGGGGAGCUGGCUACUUCUCGCUCUGCUUCAUCCCACUAUUAUUUUGGCACAACAGGAAGCUGUUGAAGGAGGAUGUUCCCAUCUUGGUCAGUCCUAUGCGGAUAGAGAUGUCUGGAAGCCAGAACCAUGCCAAAUAUGUGUCUGUGACUCAGGAUCCGUUCUCUGCGAUGACAUAAUAUGUGACGAUCAAGAAUUAGACUGCCCCAACCCAGAAAUUCCAUUUGGAGAAUGUUGUGCAGUUUGCCCACAGCCUCCAACUGCUCCUACUCGCCCUCCUAAUGGUCAAGGACCUCAAGGCCCCAAGGGAGAUCCAGGCCCUCCUGGUAUUCCUGGGAGAAAUGGUGACCCUGGUAUUCCAGGACAACCAGGGUCCCCUGGUUCUCCUGGCCCCCCUGGAAUCUGUGAAUCAUGCCCUACUGGUCCUCAGAACUAUUCUCCCCAGUAUGAUUCAUAUGAUGUCAAGUCUGGAGUAGCAGUAGGAGGACUCGCAGGCUAUCCUGGACCAGCUGGCCCCCCAGGCCCUCCCGGUCCCCCUGGUACAUCUGGUCAUCCUGGUUCCCCUGGAUCUCCAGGAUACCAAGGACCCCCUGGUGAACCUGGGCAAGCUGGUCCUUCAGGCCCUCCAGGACCUCCUGGUGCUAUAGGUCCAUCUGGUCCUGCUGGAAAAGAUGGAGAAUCAGGUAGACCCGGACGACCUGGAGAGCGAGGAUUGCCUGGACCUCCAGGUAUCAAAGGUCCAGCUGGGAUACCUGGAUUCCCUGGUAUGAAAGGACACAGAGGCUUCGAUGGACGAAAUGGAGAAAAGGGUGAAACAGGUGCUCCUGGAUUAAAGGGUGAAAAUGGUCUUCCAGGCGAAAAUGGAGCUCCUGGACCCAUGGGUCCAAGAGGGGCUCCUGGUGAGCGAGGACGGCCAGGACUUCCUGGGGCUGCAGGUGCUCGGGGUAAUGACGGUGCUCGAGGCAGUGAUGGUCAACCAGGCCCUCCUGGUCCUCCUGGAACUGCCGGAUUCCCUGGAUCCCCUGGUGCUAAGGGUGAAGUUGGACCUGCAGGGUCUCCUGGUUCAAAUGGUGCCCCUGGACAAAGAGGAGAACCUGGACCUCAGGGACACGCUGGUGCUCAAGGUCCUCCUGGCCCUCCUGGGAUUAAUGGUAGUCCUGGUGGUAAAGGCGAAAUGGGUCCCGCUGGCAUUCCUGGAGCUCCUGGACUGAUGGGAGCCCGGGGUCCUCCAGGACCAGCCGGUGCUAAUGGUGCUCCUGGACUGCGAGGUGGUGCAGGUGAGCCUGGUAAGAAUGGUGCCAAAGGAGAGCCCGGACCACGUGGUGAACGCGGUGAGGCUGGUAUUCCAGGUGUUCCAGGAGCUAAAGGCGAAGAUGGCAAGGAUGGAUCACCUGGAGAACCUGGUGCAAAUGGGCUUCCAGGAGCUGCAGGAGAAAGGGGUGCCCCUGGGUUCCGAGGACCUGCUGGACCAAAUGGCAUCCCAGGAGAAAAGGGUCCUGCUGGAGAGCGUGGUGCUCCAGGCCCUGCAGGGCCCAGAGGAGCUGCUGGAGAACCUGGCAGAGAUGGCGUCCCUGGAGGUCCAGGAAUGAGGGGCAUGCCCGGAAGUCCAGGAGGACCAGGAAGUGAUGGGAAACCAGGGCCUCCCGGAAGUCAAGGAGAAAGUGGUCGACCAGGUCCUCCUGGGCCAUCUGGUCCCCGAGGUCAGCCUGGUGUCAUGGGCUUCCCCGGUCCUAAAGGAAAUGAUGGUGCUCCUGGUAAGAAUGGAGAACGAGGUGGCCCUGGAGGACCUGGCCCUCAGGGUCCUCCUGGAAAGAAUGGUGAAACUGGACCUCAGGGACCCCCAGGGCCUACUGGGCCUGGUGGUGACAAAGGAGACACAGGACCCCCUGGUCCACAAGGAUUACAAGGCUUGCCUGGUACAGGUGGUCCUCCAGGAGAAAAUGGAAAACCUGGGGAACCAGGUCCAAAGGGUGAUGCCGGUGCACCUGGAGCUCCAGGAGGCAAGGGUGAUGCUGGUGCCCCUGGUGAACGUGGACCUCCUGGAUUGGCAGGGGCCCCAGGACUUAGAGGUGGAGCUGGUCCCCCUGGUCCCGAAGGAGGAAAGGGUGCUGCUGGUCCUCCUGGGCCACCUGGUGCUGCUGGUACUCCUGGUCUGCAAGGAAUGCCUGGAGAAAGAGGAGGUCUUGGAAGUCCUGGUCCAAAGGGUGACAAGGGUGAACCAGGCGGUCCAGGUGCUGAUGGUGUCCCAGGGAAAGAUGGCCCAAGGGGUCCUACUGGUCCUAUUGGUCCUCCUGGCCCAGCUGGCCAGCCUGGAGAUAAGGGUGAAGGUGGUGCCCCCGGACUUCCAGGUAUAGCUGGACCUCGUGGUAGCCCUGGUGAGAGAGGUGAAACUGGCCCUCCAGGACCUGCUGGUUUCCCUGGUGCUCCUGGACAGAAUGGUGAACCUGGUGGUAAAGGAGAAAGAGGGGCUCCGGGUGAGAAAGGUGAAGGAGGCCCUCCUGGAGUUGCAGGACCCCCUGGAGGUUCUGGACCUGCUGGUCCUCCUGGUCCCCAAGGUGUCAAAGGUGAACGUGGCAGUCCUGGUGGACCUGGUGCUGCUGGCUUCCCUGGUGCUCGUGGUCUUCCUGGUCCUCCUGGUAGUAAUGGUAACCCAGGACCCCCAGGUCCCAGCGGUUCUCCAGGCAAGGAUGGGCCCCCAGGUCCUGCGGGUAACACUGGUGCUCCUGGCAGCCCUGGAGUGUCUGGACCAAAAGGUGAUGCUGGCCAACCAGGAGAGAAGGGAUCGCCUGGUGCCCAGGGCCCACCAGGAGCUCCAGGCCCACUUGGGAUUGCUGGGAUCACUGGAGCACGGGGUCUUGCAGGACCACCAGGCAUGCCAGGUCCUAGGGGAAGCCCUGGCCCUCAGGGUGUCAAGGGUGAAAGUGGGAAACCAGGAGCUAACGGUCUCAGUGGAGAACGUGGUCCCCCUGGACCCCAGGGUCUUCCUGGUCUGGCUGGUACAGCUGGUGAACCUGGAAGAGAUGGAAACCCUGGAUCAGAUGGUCUUCCAGGCCGAGAUGGAUCUCCUGGUGGCAAGGGUGAUCGUGGUGAAAAUGGCUCUCCUGGUGCCCCUGGCGCUCCUGGUCAUCCAGGCCCACCUGGUCCUGUCGGUCCAGCUGGAAAGAGUGGUGACAGAGGAGAAAGUGGCCCUGCUGGCCCUGCUGGUGCUCCCGGUCCUGCUGGUUCCCGAGGUGCUCCUGGUCCUCAAGGCCCACGUGGUGACAAAGGUGAAACAGGUGAACGUGGAGCUGCUGGCAUCAAAGGACAUCGAGGAUUCCCUGGUAAUCCAGGUGCCCCAGGUUCUCCAGGCCCUGCUGGUCAGCAGGGUGCAAUCGGCAGUCCAGGACCUGCAGGCCCCAGAGGACCUGUUGGACCCAGUGGACCUCCUGGCAAAGAUGGAACCAGUGGACAUCCAGGUCCCAUUGGACCACCAGGGCCUCGAGGUAACAGAGGUGAAAGAGGAUCUGAGGGCUCCCCAGGCCACCCAGGGCAACCAGGCCCUCCUGGACCUCCUGGUGCCCCUGGUCCUUGCUGUGGUGGUGUUGGAGCCGCUGCCAUUGCUGGGAUUGGAGGUGAAAAAGCUGGCGGUUUUGCCCCGUAUUAUGGAGAUGAACCAAUGGAUUUCAAAAUCAACACCGAUGAGAUUAUGACUUCACUCAAGUCUGUUAAUGGACAAAUAGAAAGCCUCAUUAGUCCUGAUGGUUCUCGUAAAAACCCCGCUAGAAACUGCAGAGACCUGAAAUUCUGCCAUCCUGAACUCAAGAGUGGAGAAUACUGGGUUGACCCUAACCAAGGAUGCAAAUUGGAUGCUAUCAAGGUAUUCUGUAAUAUGGAAACUGGGGAAACAUGCAUAAGUGCCAAUCCUUUGAAUGUUCCACGGAAACACUGGUGGACAGAUUCUAGUGCUGAGAAGAAACACGUUUGGUUUGGAGAGUCCAUGGAUGGUGGUUUUCAGUUUAGCUACGGCAAUCCUGAACUUCCUGAAGAUGUCCUUGAUGUGCAGCUGGCAUUCCUUCGACUUCUCUCCAGCCGAGCUUCCCAGAACAUCACAUAUCACUGCAAAAAUAGCAUUGCAUACAUGGAUCAGGCCAGUGGAAAUGUAAAGAAGGCCCUGAAGCUGAUGGGGUCAAAUGAAGGUGAAUUCAAGGCUGAAGGAAAUAGCAAAUUCACCUACACAGUUCUGGAGGAUGGUUGCACGAAACACACUGGGGAAUGGAGCAAAACAGUCUUUGAAUAUCGAACACGCAAGGCUGUGAGACUACCUAUUGUAGAUAUUGCACCCUAUGACAUUGGUGGUCCUGAUCAAGAAUUUGGUGUGGACGUUGGCCCUGUUUGCUUUUUAUAAACCAAACUCUAUCUGAAAUCCCAACAAAAAAAAUUUAACUCCAUAUGUGUUCCUCUUGUUCUAAUCUUGUCAACCAGUGCAAGUGACCGACAAAAUUCCAGUUAUUUAUUUCCAAAAUGUUUGGAAACAGUAUAAUUUGACAAAGAAAAAUGAUACUUCUCUUUUUUUGCUGUUCCACCAAAUACAAUUCAAAUGCUUUUUGUUUUAUUUUUUUACCAAUUCCAAUUUCAAAAUGUCUCAAUGGUGCUAUAAUAAAUAAACUUCAACACUCUUUAUGAUAACAACACUGUGUUAUAUUCUUUGAAUCCUAGCCCAUCUGCAGAGCAAUGACUGUGCUCACCAGUAAAAGAUAACCUUUCUUUCUGAAAUAGUCAAAUACGAAAUUAGAAAAGCCCUCCCUAUUUUAACUACCUCAACUGGUCAGAAACACAGAUUGUAUUCUAUGAGUCCCAGAAGAUGAAAAAAAUUUUAUACGUUGAUAAAACUUAUAAAUUUCAUUGAUUAAUCUCCUGGAAGAUUGGUUUAAAAAGAAAAGUGUAAUGCAAGAAUUUAAAGAAAUAUUUUUAAAGCCACAAUUAUUUUAAUAUUGGAUAUCAACUGCUUGUAAAGGUGCUCCUCUUUUUUCUUGUCAUUGCUGGUCAAGAUUACUAAUAUUUGGGAAGGCUUUAAAGACGCAUGUUAUGGUGCUAAUGUACUUUCACUUUUAAACUCUAGAUCAGAAUUGUUGACUUGCAUUCAGAACAUAAAUGCACAAAAUCUGUACAUGUCUCCCAUCAGAAAGAUUCAUUGGCAUGCCACAGGGGAUUCUCCUCCUUCAUCCUGUAAAGGUCAACAAUAAAAACCAAAUUAUGGGGCUGCUUUUGUCACACUAGCAUAGAGAAUGUGUUGAAAUUUAACUUUGUAAGCUUGUAUGUGGUUGUUGAUCUUUUUUUUCCUUACAGACACCCAUAAUAAAAUAUCAUAUUAAAAUUC